rnacentral:lncRNA from 1 species
CAUAAUUUUUGAAGCUUUGCAUUUAAAAAAUUUCCUAAAACAAACGACAUUCAAGUAUGUACCACGGAAAACAACAAUCCUACAACACCUAGUUCGCUAGAAGAAGGUCGUGAACCUCACAUCCUUCACCUAUCCAAAAUGCAUACGAUUAACAUUGGAAAAAAAUAAAAAAAUACCCAAAAUCUUCCAACAUGUUCAUAACAUAAAAUCUAUUAAACUUAUUGUUGAAAAACACACCUACUUACCUAAACCGAGUCAACAACACAACUCUUUCAAACACGUCACUGUAGCAACAAAAGAAAUAACGCAACCCAAACUAAAGAUAAUGACAGAUGAAAUUGAAAAGCAAAAUAAAGCAGAAAAAAGAAACAAAAAGAACAAAGGGAAAAAGGUAACAAAAGAGAAAGAAACAUGCGUUGAAAAGAAAGGGAAUAAAAAUAAUAACACAAACAGAAUAAUGGACAGUAGUGGGGGAGUGGUUUUAAGAGAGAAAGUAUUUAAAAUAAAAUAAAAUGAAAAAAAAGGAAAAGGUUAUUAUUCUAACUAACUAAAAUCCAACCAAUUUUAAUACCCUAUAUUUAUCCAGCCACUAGAGUUUGAAUCCCACCAACAAACUACUACCAUGGGUGAUACAACAGAUAAAAUAACAAAAGAAAAAUUUCCAUUAAGCAUACGGGGACUCAAACACAGAACCUUAAAC